GGAGCGAGUAAAGUGGCGGACGGGUGAGUAACGCGUAGGAAUCUACCUUUCAGUGGGGGAUAGCUCGGGGAAACUCGAAUUAAUACCGCAUAUACCCUUCGGGGGAAAGGGGGCCUCUCCUUGGAAGCUCUCGCUGUUAGAUGAGCCUGCGUGAGAUUAGCUUGUUGGUAAGGUAAUGGCUUACCAAGGCUACGAUCUCUAGCUGGUCUGAGAGGACGAUCAGCCACACUGGGACUGAGACACGGCCCAGACUCCUACGGGAGGCAGCAGUAGGGAAUAUUGGACAAUGGGGGCAACCCUGAUCCAGGCAUGCCGCGUGUGUGAAGAAGGCCUUAGGGUUGUAAAGCACUUUAAGUGAGGAAGAAAAGAUUUAAAUUAAUACUUUAAGUCCCUGACAUUACUCACAGAAUAAGGACCGGCUAACUCCGUGCCAGCAGCCGCGGUAAUACGGAGGGUCCAAGCGUUAAUCGGAAUUACUGGGCGUAAAGCGCGCGUAGAUGGUUUAUUCAGUUGGGUGUGAAAUCCCUGGGCUCAACCUAGGAACUGCAUUCAAAACUUAUAAACUAGAGUACGAAAGAGGAGAGUAGAAUUCAUGGUGUAGCGGUGAAAUGCGUAGAGAUCAUGAGGAAUACCAGUGGCGAAGGCGACUC
rnacentral:rRNA from 1 species